CCCACUCCCAGGCCCCGUUCCUAGGUGAGUUUUUUUCUGUUUCUAGCUUGGCUCCCAUUAUAACACAAGCCUCCAAAUGUUGAUCCCCUUGACAGGUGCCCCAGGCCAGCUCCUCUGGUGCCAGUGCUGGGAAGGAAGUGCAAUUCCCAGCUGUCCCUGCCGCUCCUACAAUGCUGGGUGCAGCCCAGAGCGAGGCCAUUUGUGAGGAUUUGCCAGGCUCUCUAGCAGCUGAGAUGGACCUGGCGCUCAGCUGCCCUCCACCCACACGCUCCCUCUCCUGCCUCCAGAACCAUCAUGACAUUCUGUGGAUUCUUCAUACUUUAGAAGGCAUCUGUUUCUCCAUUUGAUCACAACAUCCACCGAAGGGAGAACAGAAAAGGUAUAUUCUUAGCCUCUUCUUGCAUAAACAUGAGGAAAAUGAGGGGAAGUAACAAAGGAAGUGAAGAGAGAAACUGAACUUUGCAGUUGGAUCUUCUCAUAACUCAACCUGGUUCUUGCCCCCACCUCACCUGGGCCAAGGCAUGGGAGACACAGGGAGUCGUGGAUGGGAGAUGAGAGUGGCAAAGGAUGCAGACUGGACAAAAACCAGUUCCCAGAGGCCAGUCCAGCUGUGGGUGAGUAGGAAACAGCCAGGGGAAAGGGAGGAUGAAGAGGCUGAAGGAGGAUGGGAAUAUGCCAGGCAGAGCGCAGCAUGUGCAAAGGCCCUGUGGGGAGAGAGAGUUCACGGAAGUGAAGUGAAAAUGGCUCAUGAGUAGAUGUGACAUCUAUUUUCCUGCAAGUUAAUAUCAUCUGACAUUGGAUACAAUUUUUUAUGCCACAUUUAUCCCCAAAAUGGAUUUGUGGUUGCUUAUGAAAAACAGAUAGUAUAAGCUAAGGGAAUCCUCAAAGACCACUUACAGGGCAAAAGCAGAGCUCCCCAAAUGACAAAUGGCAUAGGAAUCCCCUGGGGCCUUGUUAGUAUGCACACUUUAGUUGGGAGGUCUGGGGUGAAGCCUAAGAUUCUGCAUUUCUGCUGUUACUGCAUUGAGAACCACACUUCAAGUAGCAAAGCUUGUGGCAGGGCCCAGGAGCGGAGGUUCUAACUUCAUUCUGUAUCAGUGUCAUGAAGAUGCCUGAGCCCCACCCAGGUCCAACUGAAUCAGACUCCCUCGGGGUGGGGUGCAAGCAUCAGUAUAUUUUAAAAGCUCCUUAAGUGAUCUGAAGGUGAAGCCAGAGGUAGGAACACUUGGCUAGGUUUUUCAUGAGUUCCAGGGUAUAUCAAUCAUCUCCCCCAGGCAGAUGAGUUGUGAAUGUGGUCUCCCUUGUGAAACAGAGCUUUACUAGCAGGGAGUUUGUAGCCUCUGGAAUAGGAAAACAGAAGUUUCUGUCCAAAGUGGAAACCAUAUGCUGGUGGAGCUGGGCAUCCGAUUCCACCCUCAUUUUGCAGCUGAGGAAACAAGUCCUGAGUCCACACAGCUGGUGAAGUCCCUUGGCCCCAGCCAGGUCGUUUUUUUACUCUUGCUACAGAUACCAAGCAGGGAGGCUCCCUAGAAGAGGAAGAGCUAGAGGGGCGGGGCCAGGAGGAGGUGCAAGUGACAAAAGACAUGCAGACAGGAAAUGAAUGGCAAAAAAAAUGCCGGGAAGAAAGGCAGAAGAGGACAGCCCCUGUUCCUUUCAAACCUCCACAAGUAGGCAGUGGCUGCCCUGCCCAUAAACAGACAUGCCUGGAACAUGGCUGUGAGGCAGCAGACAGGCAGGGCUGGCCAGGAGCACAGCAAGGGGACAACGAGAAGGACACUGCCAGGGCAGAGUGCAUCAGAAGCCCAUAGGACGGCUUCGCUGCAAAGCAAAGGCCUUCCUGGGCUGAGAAUGUACCUCCAAGAGGAUGUGGGCAGGCACAGCUGGGCCUGGCUUUUAGGAGGUUUUCAGAAAGUAAAAGACACUGCCUAUUUGACCAUCCACUGAAAAUGCCCUCUGAGGACUCAGUAAGGUUGAGUUACUAGUUGUGAGUGAGGAAUGCCAUUACUAGUCUGUUGUUGGGCACCCAGGCACCUGUGACAGAUGAGAAGAUGGGAGAGGGACAGAUGUUCAGCCAGAAGAGAACUCAAAGGAUAAGAAAGGUGGCCACAGGCACUCCAGAAGGGCUAUUUGUUGUGCAGGGAAAAGGAGCCAGAGUAAAAAGGCAUGGUCUGUAAUCCCAGCGCUUUGGGAGGCUGAGGUGGGGGGAUCACCUGAGGUCAGGAGUUCGAGACCAGCCUGGUCAACAUGGCAAAACCCUGUCUCUACAAAAAUACGAAAAAUUAGCCGAGUGUGGUGGCACACGCCUAUAAUCCCAGCUUCUCAGCAGGCUGAAGCAGGAGAACUGCUUGAACCCAGGAGGCAGAUGUUGCAGUGAGCCAAGAUCGCACCACUACACUCCAGCCUGGGCGACAGAGUGAGACUCCAUCUCAAAAUAAAUAGCAAGCCAUGGAACUGGGGAUGAAGCAGCAAGCAGAGGUUCUCACCAUAGCUCCCCAGGGCAAGGAAGGCCACAGCCCAGCCUGGAGACCAGCCAGCAGGCAGGGUCAGCUAGAGCAGCGCUCUGAUGGACAGACCUCAGGGACAUAAAGGCGAGAGUCUUCAGGAAGCAUCUGGAAACCAGCUCCUUUCCCACCUAGAAGAUGGGUAACAACUGCCACUCCCCGGCUUUUAGGAAAGCCCACACCCAGCCCCACGAUGUCUGCAAAUUCUCAGGGGGGUGUAUUUCUCAUUACCUCUGGCUUCUGCAGAAUUCUCCUUCCCUUCUCCAGGAGUUGACGCUGGCUUUUAACUCUGUCCUAUAAUCCCCUGUGCAGAAGCCCCAGUCCCUUCUCCUAGGUUCCUCCCCAUUCCCCAGAAAGGGACACACAGGCCAGUGAGGAGAGUGGACGCCCCUGGAGUCUGGCUUCAGGAGAGGAUAGGGCUGUCAGAUACUUUAAACUGAAGAGCUGACGGCUCCUGCUCCUUGACUUCCCUUGGCCAUUUCCACUAACUCAAUCCCAGCCUUCAAGCGAGUCCACCUUCUCUCCCUUUUUACUGCAAUUCCUGCACAGAUUUACACAGAAGAGCUCUCUCUAUAUAUAAUUUUUUUUCUCUUUCUACUCAUGCCCACAAGGCCUCAUUUCUCACCCAAAUGACCUAUCAAGGUAGUUCUUAAAUGAAAGCAGUUCCUCCCCUCAGAGAACACUAACACCAGCAGGCAAAAUAAUUUUUCUCAUUGCACAGCAUGUUCAAUAGAGAGCUAGCUAAGUCAGGCCGGAUCGACGUCCACGCUCUAUGUGGUGCACCAGCACAGAUUGGCUGGAGUUAGAUAUUUGAGUCUGAACCUGAACUUCUCAUGUGGUUCUCACAACAUCCCUCCACAAAGGCCUUUCCCCCAAAAACCAUAGUCCAUAGUUGACUCCAGUCUUGCUGGCAGCUAAGCAAGUCCUGGGAAAACCAGGAGCUGGCAGGUGUCUGGAAACCAUUUCUUUGCAGUUCUGUGCUGCUGCAUCCUCUGGCUUGAAGUCAUCAGGAACCAGCCCCACUUUGCAACCCCAGGGCCCACAAUCCAAAUGCAGUCUCUGGUUUUUGAAGCUUUUAGUCCCAUUAGCGUUCACAGUGCUAGGAAUGAUGCAAGACAGGGGAGGAUGGAAGCGGCAUUGGACCAGCAGUUCCAGCAGGCCAGGCUGCCAAAGCUUCUGUCUCCCCUCCCUCGCUUCCCUAUUACUGGGAGUGCUUAAUGUGCACCCAUGCAAGAAGACCAAUUUGCACCUUCUGUGGAGGACACAGCUUGGAAUUUCUUGACUUCUGUGCACCUCAAUAGCCAAUGACUUCACUGUUUCUGUCUUGCUCCUUGACUUGAUCUCUCAUGAGAGUGGAGGAGCCAGAAGAAGGUAAGCCAGUCAUAACAGUCAAAGGUUCCCAAAACAAAAGGCGAAGAGCCAAAGCAGGCAGUGAUCCCUGAGAAUCACCAAGGCUCCCCAACCUCCCUCUGAUGAGACUCAGGGGCUCCUUUUUAUCUCCAGAAUCUAUCUAUAAGACAGGGUCAGUGGGAAGUAGGCCAAAUGCUAUAUGGUGUGACAGCAAGGGCCUAGGACUUUCUCUGCCUCCCCAGAUGCCUCCCAACUUGUGAGCAGGUUCCUGACACUACAAGUUCAUUCCUUUAGCAUAAGGUGUUAACACUAUCAAAUACAAACUACUCCACAAAAGAUGAGGCUUUGAGUUUAUCAUGGCCAUAAGAAUAGAGAUGGGGUGGAAGACAUCCGAGAAAAGCUUAGAAGAAGGUUGGAGCCUGGGGUGGCUGGGUGGAGGGGAGCAAUAGGCUGGGCAGAGGCCAGGUAGGCCAAGGAUAAGCUCCACAACUCAGAUGGCACUUGGUCCAAGCAGUGAUGGGGCCUUGACUCCAGGCUUAGCCCCACUUCCACUUUGCUCUGUGAACUUAGGUUAACUCACCCCUCUGGGUCUCCAUAUCCCUUUUUCAAGGUGAAACCAAAAAUAAACUUAUCUCACUUCUUGCAAAGUCAAGGAUAGUUUUACCAGUUCCCUUGUUAGGGAAAUGGUUCUGUGAUAAGAGUAGCAAGGCUUUACUCUGUGCCAGGUGCUGUUCUAAGCCCUUAACAAGCGCUAACUCAUGUAAUCUUCCAAAGAUUCCAGAGGUGGGAGCUACGACCACCCCCAUCUUGCAGAUGAAGACCUUGCAGCGACCAGCCCAGGGUCCCCUGGCAAGUGGGUGACAAAGCCAGGAAUGAACCCAGGGGGUCUGGGCCAGAGCCCACACCUUAACCAUCAUACUCCAUGGCCUCUCUAUGUGCAGGGGCCCCACACACAGAGCAUAAGCCCAGCUGCCUGCUUCUAAUGUUCUGAUCCAGUUUAUGAGGGGUACCUUGCACCUGGUGUACCCCCAAUCACAAAACAGGGAUAGCCUCAAGUGCUUUUUCCAGUUGUAUUACUUUACUGAGACCAGAGUAACCAUCUAAAUCCACUUCAAGACUGCCCCUAGGAAGGCGUUCCUCACACCAAUGUGGGGGACACACCUGUUGUUAAAAAAAGAUAGCCUUGGCCAGGCGUGGUGGCUCAUGCCUGUAA
rnacentral:lncRNA from 10 species